AUAAGAUUGGUAACCUAUCGAUGAAAAUGUGUUUACAAUAAAUUAAAAAUAGUUUUAAAUAAUAUAAAUCUUGAGGAAGGUGAAUUUAGUGAUGAAUAGAAGAACUAACUGCAGCAAGGGCAUCACUUUUAAAGAUGAAAGAUCAGCUAAAAUUGCCUAUUUAGAGAGAAAAAAAAUUGGAAUUAAUCAGUAUGACGUUAAAACAUUCAAUAGGGGUUUUGACUUUCGGAAAAAAGUUUAACAUUACCUCAACAUUGCUUAAUGUAUUAACUUGCAUUAUAUUUUCUUUCCGGAAACUGAGAAUUGUUACUGCAAAUAGUGGAAUAAUUUCCAAGGAAUCAUAGCCCAGAAUCAAGUCCCAUAAAUAUAAAAGUUGUUCCGGUGGUACUAAAAAAAAUAUAAUUUACGGAUGAAUGUGUAUAUUUUUGAAAUGUGACCAAAGUUGAGGCUCGUGACAUUGUAAAAGACGUUCAAAGAGAAGACAAAGAGCCACAAUACCCUGUCCAUGACAUGAUACAGUGUGAAGGCG